rnacentral:rRNA from 1 species
UACAGAGGUGGCAAGCGUUGUUCGGAAUUACUGGGCGUAAAGGGCGCGUAGGCGGUCCCGUCAGUCCCUUGUGAAAUCCCCCGGCUCAACUGGGGAACUGCAAGGGAUACAGCGGGGCUUGGGUUCGGGAGAGGGAAGCGGAAUUCCGGGUGUAGCGGUGAAAUGCGUAGAUAUCCGGAGGAACACCGGUGGCGAAGGCGGCUUCCUGGACCGAUACUGACGCUGAGGCGCGAAAGCUAGGGGAGCAAACGGG